UGGAUCAGCAUGCCACGGUGAAUACGUUCCCGGGUCUUGUACACACCGCCCGUCACACCAUGGGAGCUGGUAACACCCGAAGUCAGUAGUCUAACCGCAAGGAGGACGCUGCCGAAGGUGGGAUUAGCGACUGGGGUGAAGUCGUAACAAGGUACC
rnacentral:rRNA from 1 species